AACGUAGGAGACAAACGUUAUCCGGAGUUACUGGGCGUAAAGGGCGCGUAGGCGGUUCCGUAAGUCAGGCGUGAAAGCUCACGGCUCAACUGUGGACGUGCGUCUGAUACUGCGGUGACUUGAGGUCGGUAGAGGUAAGUGGAACUAGCGGUGUAGCGGUGAAAUGCGCAGAUAUCGCUAGGAACGCCGGUGGCGAAGGCGACUUGCUGGGCCGUACCUGACGCUGAUGCGCGAAAGCUAGGGGAGCGAACCGG
rnacentral:rRNA from 1 species